rnacentral:rRNA from 1 species
AUUGAACGCUGGCGGCAUGCCUUACACAUGCAAGUCGAACGGUAACAGGUCUUCGGAUGCUGACGAGUGGCGAACGGGUGAGUAAUACAUCGGAACGUGCCUAGUAGUGGGGGAUAACUACUCGAAAGAGUGGCUAAUACCGCAUGAGAUCUACGGAUGAAAGCAGGGGAUCGCAAGACCUUGUGCUACUAGAGCGGCCGAUGGCAGAUUAGGUAGUUGGUGGGAUAAAAGCUUACCAAGCCGACGAUCUGUAGCUGGUCUGAGAGGACGAUCAGCGACACUGGGACUGAGACACGGCCCAGACUCCUACGGGAGGAAGCAGUGGGGAAUUUUGGACAAUGGGCGAAAGCCUGAUCCAGCAAUGCCGCGCGCAGGAUGAAGGCCUUCGGGUUGUAAACUGCUUUUGUACGGAACGAAAAGCCCCGGGUUAAUACCCUGGGGUCAUGACGGUACCGUAAGAAUAAGCACCGGCUAACUACGUGCCAGCCGCCGCAGUAA